AGCUUUGCGCAGUGGCAGUAUCGUAGCCAAUGAGGUUUAUCCAAGGCGCGAUUAUUGCUAAUUGAAAUAUUUUUUGACAAAAGUGUCCAUGUAAUUCAAUGGUGAAAAGAGGUUUUUUGUUUUGUUUUGUUUUGU